rnacentral:ncRNA from 1 species
AGGGGUGACACUGAGUUUACUCAGCUGUCUGAGACCGGCUUGCCGGAACCCUUUGAACCUGACCCGGUUAGUACCGGCGUAGGAAUAAGGAUAAU